rnacentral:rRNA from 1 species
UACGGAGGAUCCAAGCGUUAUCCGGAUUUAUUGGGUUUAAAGGGUGCGUAGGCGGCCUAUUAAGUCAGGGGUGAAAGACGGUAGCUUAACUAUCGCAGUGCCUUUGAUACUGAUGGGCUUGAAUGUACUUGAGGUAGGCGGAAUGUGACAAGUAGCGGAGAAAUGCAUAGAUAUGUCACAGAACACCAAUUGCGAAGGCAGCUUACUAAAGUAUGAUUGACGCUGAGGCACGAAAGCGUGGGGAUCAAACAGG